CACCUGUAGAGUCCAACAGAACAACACCCACCAGACCAGAGAGGCUCACAUACAUGUUCCAGAUGAUUUCUUCUCGUCCUCGUCCAGUUCUGCUGUUCCCAUCAACACUGGUCUGGCUGUUAGCUUAGCUGUUAGCAUCAUGGUUAUUUUAGCAGUUGUCUUCUUUGUGUGGAGACAAAGUAGAACCAAAACCAAGAAAAGAUCCAGAGAUGAAGCUGAAAGAGGAGAAAAGCUCCUGCCAGAGGA